GUAUAGAUUUAAAGGCAUUUAAGCCCUUCAAUUACAUUCAAUGACAUACAAUGGGGUAUAUAAUGUAUAGACCCGGGCUCUGCUGUAGAAUAAAGCCGACCUUUUGUAAGACAAAAAGCCUGCAGCAUUCAAAUCCAAAGUCUCCUUUGAAAAGUAGCGUCACCCAAGGACUACAAAAGGUUCACAGGUGGUUGAAAUGACUUUUGCAAAGCGUGCACAUGCCCCCGAAGGAGCCAGCAAACAACUUCACAUAGUGAAUUCAAUAAUGAUCCUUCCGCAGGUUCACCUACGGAAA
rnacentral:misc_RNA from 1 species